AAAUAUUUUCAUUUCACAAGCUUUUAGAACUUCUGUCAGGGUUUAUGAAAUUUAAUCGAACGUGAAUAUAAAAAAAGAGGCUGAGUUUGUUCAUUGUUUUAUAAAUUAUAGAGGCCAAAACCUCUGAAAACUGUUUCCUAUUCCAGUACUUCUAUACAGUACUUCCAGUACUGACUAAGAUUAAUAUGCAUCAAUAUUUUCUUAAAAAGAUACACAAAAAAAGACAAAAAAAAAAAAAAAAAAAAAAACCAAAAAAAAAAAAAAAAGGAGUGUGUCCAAAUUUGAAUAGAAAAUGCAGAGCUUAAAGCUCAGGCAGCUUUCAUAGAUGAUUAGGCAAUAAUAAUAAAAAAAUAGCAAUAAUAAUAAAAAUCAGUCUGAUUAUUGCGCAACAGAAUUCAGGAAUGUCUUAAAUUAUAUUUUUUAAAAAUAAUAAUAAAAAAUAAAAUAGUAAAGUAAUAAAAGCAAAC